rnacentral:rRNA from 1 species
GAUGAACGCUAGCGGGAGGCUUAACACAUGCAAGUCGAGGGGCAGCAUAGGGUAGCAAUACUCUGAUGGCGACCGGCAAACGGGUGAGUAACGCGUAUGCAACCUACCCUGUACAGGGGGAUAACCCGGAGAAAUUCGGACUAAUAUCCCGUAAUAAUAUCCGGAGGCAUCUUUGGAUAUUUAAAGUUCCGACGGUACGGGAUGGGCAUGCGUAACAUUAACUGGUUGGUAAGGUAACGGCUUACCAAGGCUAAUGAUGUUUAGGGGUCCUGAGAGGGUGGUCCCCCAACUGGUACUGAGACACGGACCAGACUCCUACGGGAGCAGCAGUGAGGAAUAUUGGUCAAUGGGCGCAAAGCCUGAACCAGCCAUCCCGCGUGCAGGAAGACGGCCCUAAUGGGUUGUAAACUGCUUUUCCAGGGAGAGAAACUUACGCACGUGUUGCGUGACUGACGGUACCCUGGGAAUAAGCAUCGGCUAACUCCGUG